CAGUAAUGGGAAGGGUGUGUUCGGGUGAACAAGAGACUGGCAUGUCUUUACAUUAUAGCACCAAUUAAGUUCUCAGGGUCGUGUCCUCAGCUGAUGUAAAGUAGAUGAGAUGCACUGAAGUUAAUGGAUCUUUGCUGAUUUACACCCUCUGAAGGGCUGGCUCUCUGGCUCGUAUAAAAGCUGCUGAACCAUUCCAGCAACCCCGGUGUUUAACAGCUCCAUACUGAGCCAGCCUUCUCUAUCACUCCAGUCCAUAAACCACAAGCUUUAUUUACUAAUAAUUAGUCCUUCAGUCAAGUUUCAGGGUCAUGUUUUAAGAACUGCUGCCCUUAGAGCUGAUGUGGAGUUUUGAAGAGACCUGAAGCAGAGCAGAGGCACUGCCAGGCUGCCCUGAAGAUGCAGAGGGUCUUUCACAACCAUGUUGGCACCUACUGCUCUGUGGAAGUACCUGGGAGUUCAGCACCUUGAACUGAAGCUGAGGGAUCACUCUUGCAAACACAGAGUUGUACAUAAUCACUGGUCAGAAAAAUGCUGUGAAGCUGAGUCACAUCCUUCCCUUGUGUGCUGCUCUCUGAAUACCCGGGUGUCACAAGUGUCCUGAGAUUAAAACCCAACUUCCCAAACAUUAGCUUCAGCUAAUGCUCCUCUUCUUCCUUCUCUGUCUGGACUGAGUGAAGAACAUCAAGUGCCUUUCUGCCACCAGAAGGAAUAAAAGUUCUGCACAGAGCUGGGGAAUCACGACAGCCUAGCACACAAAUGUUCUGAACAAGGAAUGUAAUAUGGGCAGCUCUCACUGAGACGGUUCUUGUGCAAUAACUUAAACAGUACAGAUUACUACUUGGGGAAAUAAAAGAAAACAUAACUUUGAAACUUGAAAAGCUCUUCCUUCAUUGUAAUCAAUUGCAAUAAUCCAUGUCAGUGAUUUAGAUGAAGAUCAACUUUACCUUUCUUUGCUGAUGACACAAAACUAAGAGCAAUAAAAAACUUAAGUGCAUUUGUGCACAACUAAUGGAUUGGAUGUGGCAUGUGCCAAUGGAAGUCAGUAUGUAUAAUGCAGCAUAUACUGGAUGCCAAAUUAAUGGGAUCAUUUGGGCAUUCUGGAACACUUGUGGCAUUGAGUUUAAGUCAUUUAAGGAGUCUGGCAGAGUUUGAUAUCCUUCUGUUUUCAAAAGAUUGAGGAAGCCUACUACUUGUGUAGGCAAGCCAUGGUAUGAAUUUUAUCCCUGCUGUCCAGCUGCUACUCAGUCCAAAGAUGAGAGAUAAUAAAACCAAGGGAAUGAGAUCAUGCCUGGUAUCCCUAUUAAGAAAUAUAAGAAUGCAGAUUCACCUGAACAGAGAGCUGAAGGUGCAGGCACACAGAUGAUGGACCAGACGGUCCAGCCUCCUGCUAAACGUGAGGACCUUCACCAGGCCACAGGGCUCACACUGAUUUUCCACUGCACUGCUUCCUACUUGGACUAGUUCAUUUUGAAGAAAACUGAUCAUAGCACGGAGUGAAAUGCAUCUCACUGCCAACGUGCACCAUCCAGAAUUACCUGAUGAACUGCAGGGAUUUGUUCAGGGAGCUCAGAUAUGCAGCAGAGCUGGAGACAAGGCAGUUUUCUCCCUCUCACCCAUUCCAGCAAACUGGCCCAAGCUAGGGUGAGGCACAGGGACAGAAGAAGCUGUCUCAUCCCUGUGGUCCUGCCACUGGGCAGAGCAGCACAGAAGGAGCCAGCAAAUUGCACAUGCUGGUAAUAACAAAGGUCCUGCUCUCUCUGCCUCUUCAAAUGGAAGUGGGAGAUACUCCACAGAGGUGCAAAAUCACUCCCUUGAACUCCCAGGAGGUAAAUACUUGCAGGCUCAGCUGAGAACAUUCAUCAAAGACCAGCACAGCACCCUUGAUGUCUGUAUAGAUACUGCAGAUGUUACUGGGAGAUCUGUGGAGUCCACUAUCCACAGGCAGAUUUCACAGUUUGCUUUAUUUUUAUCUUUUGAAGAAUCUCCUAAGGUCUGAGCUUGUGAGGGUGUUUAGAGUCUGCCCAACUCAGCACCCCAGCAAGCUCAGGCCCCACUCAGUGAAGCACAGUCUGUGGACACCCAACAUCACCUACACCAAAAUGUCCAAAGCCAGGCUGGACAGGGCUUGGA